rnacentral:rRNA from 1 species
UGCCCUUUGGUNCGGAACAACUCAGGGAAACUUGAGCUAAUACCGGAUGUGCCCUUCGGGGGAAAGAUUUAUCGCCAUUGGAGCGGCCCGCGUCUGAUUAGCUAGUUGGUGAGGUAAAGGCUCACCAAGGCGACGAUCAGUAGCUGGUCUGAGAGGAUGAUCAGCCACAUUGGGACUGAGACACGGCCCAAACUCCUACGGGAGGCAGCAGUGGGGAAUCUUGCGCAAUGGGCGAAAGCCUGACGCAGCCAUGCCGCGUGAAUGAUGAAGGUCUUAGGAUUGUAAAAUUCUUUCACCGGGGACGAUAAUGACGGUACCCGGAGAAGAAGCCCCGGCUAACUUCGUGCCAGCAGCCGCGGUAAUACGAAGGGGGCUAGCGUUGCUCGGAAUUACUGGGCGUAAAGGGAGCGUAGGCGGACUGUUUAGUCAGAGGUGAAAGCCCAGGGCUCAACCUUGGAAUUGCCUUUGAUACUGGCAGUCUUGAGUACGGAAGAGGUAUGUGGAACUCCGAGUGUAGAGGUGAAAUUCGUAGAUAUUCGGAAGAACACCAGUGGCGAAGGCGACAUACUGGUCCGUUACUGACGCUGAGGCUCGAAAGCGUGGGGAGCAAACAGGAUUAGAUACCCUGGUAGUCCAC